CCUCUCUCUUUCCUGUUUCUCUUUGUGUACUUCUCAACUGCAUGGGGUGGAGGAUUAGGCAGGGGAGGGGGAAGAGAAGGCACCUGCUUCUGAUAUUAGGUUAUCAGUAAUUUCACAAUAUAGGGAGCCUUUUAAAUAUUAAUGCAGAAUAGUAACUCAGCUGCAACCAGCCUUUUUCCCUGUUUCACAGUGUCUGGACAGCCAGUGGACAUCCUUAGAUCUCUGGGGAUUCUUCAGAGCAGGGUGGCAUGAUAGGUGAGUGCAGGGAUGAGAGGAGAGCCAAAAGAGAAGGGGCAAACUUGCUGCACUGCUUUCUCCCCUCAUUUCCUACACUCUUUUCCGCCCCCACCUCCCUGGGUUGCUAUGCAGUUUCUAUGGCAGCAGCAUCCUCAGACUCAACUUUCACCCAUCAUUUAGAGCCAAUUAAGCCUGAGCGGGAAGCAACAACUCUUCUCUCAGCUGUGGUAUUGGUGGGUAAAGGACACAUCACAGAAGCAGCCAUAUUGAAGACCCCUUGGGGGGGAAACCCCAACAUCCCAGAAGACCCUUCAAGACUUCAGCAAUUGACUACAUCUCUUCUGACUCACUCUCUCUCUCUCUCUCUCUCUCUCUCUCUCUCUCUCUCUCUCUCUCUCUCUCUCUCCCCCCUCCCCCUCCUUCUCUCUUUCUCUUUCUCUGUCUCUCUCUCCCAUUUCAUUUUUCCCUGUCUUUCAGUUCAUCUGACUCUUUUCUCCUCUUACAUCUCUUCCCUCCCUCUAUUUCUAUCUCUCAUUCACCAGAGAAGAAAAAUAGUAAAAAAUGCCAAUUGCCCAGUUAUUGGAACUAUGGAAAAAGAUCGAGGUGGAGCCCAUGGAAAUAGAGACCACUGAGGAGGAGGUCAACCUCGAUGCAGAAUCUGCAACAGAAGAGGCCACCAAAGAAGGAAGUACGUGGUUCACUGUCAUAACGUAACUAGGGAGGGGCAGCUGGAGUUUUGAUCCAGGGUGCUAAAAUUGGGAUGGCACCAAAAUGGUCUUCCACAGAUCAUGGAUUGGCCUAAUAGCAUAUUCCAACCAAAAUAGCAGAUUGGAGAGAAAAGUUACAUGUGUUUAUUCAUUUGAGAAGAAAUAAAUUGCCCAGACAUUUUCA
rnacentral:lncRNA from 1 species